rnacentral:rRNA from 1 species
CUGGCGGCAUGCCUUACACAUGCAAGUCGAACGGCAGCACGGGUGCUUGCACCUGGUGGCGAGUGGCGAACGGGUGAGUAAUAUAUCGGAACGUACCUUAUCGUGGGGGAUAACGCAGCGAAAGCUGCGCUAAUACCGCAUACGCCCUGAGGGGGAAAGCGGGGGACCGUAAGGCCUCGCGCGAUUAGAGCGGCCGAUAUCUGAUUAGCUUGUUGGUGGGGUAAAAGCCCACCAAGGCGACGAUCAGUAGCUGGUCUGAGAGGACGAUCAGCCACACUGGGACUGAGACACGGCCCAGACUCCUACGGGAGGCAGCAGUGGGGAAUUUUGGACAAUGGGGGCAACCCUGAUCCAGCAAUGCCGCGUGAGUGAAGAAGGCCUUCGGGUUGUAAAGCUCUUUUGUCAGGGAAGAAACAGCAGCUCUAACACAGUCUGCGAAUGACGGUACCUGAAGAAUAAGCACCGGCUAACUACGUG